rnacentral:lncRNA from 1 species
UUUUUUGGGGGGAGGCGCCAUAACUUUUCCAUCUGAAAGUUUUUCAACAUUAUAAAUUUUGUUUGCAAUGCAAAUGGAUGAUUAUUACUACUAUUACUAAGAGUUAUUCUUAGAGAAAAAAAUCCCACUGUUUGGAAAAAUAUAUGAAGGCAUGAGACACGGCAAUGAAAGUGGUGGCGAUGUGCCCUGAUUGGAACAAGGAGAGGCCUCUUUCUGUGCACAUGGGGGAGGAUCCAGAAAGAGGGAAGGAAAGAGAAAGCAAGGCCACAUUAGCAGAUAAUAGGAGGCUGAGGUCCACCGUCAGUGAAUGGAAUUAUAGAGAUUUCACAACUUAAUAUUAGGGAUUUCUGACGUUUAAUUUGAAACUCUUCACCAUGUUGUGAUAUAACAUCCACUUUUGGCCCUCAACUUAUUUUCAGCAAAGUUGCCCACACAUAUGAAUGCUCUGGGUGAAAGCUGUGUUUGCUUUUAGGAAUUCAAGAAAGAAUUUGAGGUUCACUUCUGCCGUGAAGAACUGAGUGAGCACCUGUGGAAACUGAGAAUGAAAUGAACCCACCUAGGAAUUAGCAGCCAUUUUGCUGCAGGUUAGGGUUUUGACAGGACAUGAAUGGAGGUUUGAGUUAAGCUUCUGUGGCUCUCAAGGGGCCAGGAGAUCCCAGCUACGCCAGCAUUUGCAUUAUACUAUAGUAAGAACUCUUUCAUAACUCUCAAAUGACUCGAAUGGAAUUUUUUUUCCUUUGACUCCCGCAACAACCAUGUUAAGGAAACUUUUUUCUUUAGAUUGUGCAGAUUUAACUCAAUCUACGUUGACCUUGACAUUGUGACAGAUUACCAGAAAUCUGCUUGUAUGACAUCUUGUAUGCAACUUAAUGUUUACUUUUGUUUGUGUUUGUCUUUUUAGGGCAGUACCCAUGGCUUAUGGAAGUUCCCAGGCUAGGGGCAGAAUCAGAGCUGUUGCUGCCAGCCUACACCAUAACCACAGUAAAGCCAGAUCUGAGCCACAUCUGCAACCUACACCACAGCUCACAGAAUUCUUAACUCACUGAGUGAGGCCAGGAUCGAACGCACACCCUCAUGGCUCCUGAGCCACGAUGGGAACUCCUGUUUACAUUUUAUUCAUUCAAACAUAUGGUAAUGGGAAGCUUCAAAAAUGCUAGGGAAAUCAUUGAACACAGACUGGUAGAGCUGGAAGAAAACUUAGAGACUACUUUACAGAUAAGGAAGCUAAGGUAAAAGAAAGUGAAUAACUUUCCUGAGGUGCACAACCAUCGAGCAAUAUAUUUCCUGGAUCGAUUUGAAGAGAAAGUCCAAUUUUUCGUGCCAGAAGAAUUUCUACAAUGGGCCACCUCCUUAAAGAGCUAACUUGACCAUGGAAGAGAACUUGGCCAACUCAAAAAUGUUUAUGUCUUUAGACUCUUUCCUCUAUUUCAUAAAAAAAAGUAGUCAAAAUAGCUAAAGGAAAAAAAAUGAUCUACAUGACCAUAAAACAUGGUUUUUCAGAACCCUUCAACCCAAGUCCAAAUUCUGGAGGACUUUAGUGAGUGAGGUCUCGGCAGACAGUUAGAUGGUUAGGUAGGCUUUUUCCCACUUAGUGUGUCUCCUGGGACUGAUGGUUGUCAACUGAAAACCAAUCAAUAUAUGUUUCACUUUUGUUUUCUGUAUAAAUAGUUGUCUUAUCUGAAAUGACCUUUUCCAAGAGCUAAUCGCCAUAAAUUUUUGCAGCUGGAUAUGUUUAGAAAUGCCUCUUAGCUAUUUUUGUUGAUUUAUUUUCUUUGUCUGUAUUUGUGCAACCCAGCUUUGGGCAUGGAAGCAAGAAGCCCUGGUCACUAGACCUCCACCUCUAGUGAUAUAAACUCGGGGAACACAGUCUCUCUCCUGUGGGAAAGAUCCCAUAUGGAAUCUCACGGAGCCAAAGCUCAGUCCGAGGGAAAUGACUGUAUGUUGGAAAAUCAUCUUCAGUUCCCUUUGUAGUAACUUUAGUUUGCAUUUUCCCCUCCGCCCCCCUUUUUUCUCUUUUUUGCUUUUUAGGGCCACACCCACAGCAAACCAAAGUUCCCAGGCUGGGGGUUGGAUCAGAGCUAUGGCUGCCCGCCUACACCGAGCCGCAUCUGUGACCUACACCACAACUCCUUAACCCACUGAGGGAGGCCAGAGGUCAAACCUGCAUCCUCAUGGAUACUAGGAGGAUUCAUUUCUGCGACACCACAAGGAAACUCCUCCCCCUGCUCAUUUUAUUCUUUUUCUAUCUACAACGUCAAUGUCCAAUAAUAUGGAGGUUACAUAUAUGGAGAAUUAAAACUCACUGGCAUAUUAAAAGGCACAAAAAUGCAAAUGCAAAUACUAUUUGCUGUGUAGCUUCAUGGAAAAACUUAUAUAAAAUACAUUAGGUGACUGCUGCCUAUAUUCACUUAGAGUAUGCAUAUUUUAUUUAUACGUUUGGAUAAAGUUUAGACAUUUUCUCAAAAAGAGGAAAGUGAGCUGACAAAACUUGAUGACCCAAUAUACGCUGAGUCUAUCUCGGUUAAUGCUUAGAACAGCCCAGUGAAAAGGCUUUAUUACCUUCGUUUAAAUAUAAAGAAUCUGAGGCUCGAUAAGGCCAAAUAACUUGCCAAUUAUACAGCUAAUAUAAAGGUACAACCAGGGUUACAGGUCAGUCCUAAAGCUAAAAUCCAUGCUGCUUUUACUAUGCUAUCUAUGGUGCAUUUAGAGAAACCGAACGAUUAUUGAUUUCGGUAAAGAGCUUACAUUAUGUCAUUUUUGAAUAAAAAUAAAUGCCAAGGUCUUUUUGUCCUCCCUAAUCAGUGGAUUUCUCACUUCUGAGUGAGGGAAAGAAACGUGAGUAGUGCAAAGGGAGAACUCGUCAUCCAUCUGCCCUUGCCUGUUACCUCUCUCGGGAUGUCCAUUUCCCAGGCAACAAUGCACAUGUCCAGAGGUCUAAAGUCAAAAGACUUCUAUGAAAAGAAUGCAAUAGUUUAAGCCCUGAACGUAAGACAGAGCAAUAAAGCAAUCAGUAUGGGCAGGGCUAAACUUAGAUGAAAUUUAGAAAUAGAAAAAAAUGUGUGUUUCUUUUUAAGCCUCCAGCAUUCUUUUAUGUGCUUUCCUCUCUUCUGCAGUGAUCCAUUUUCAGGAUCACACGUUGUCUCCACUGAAAUUAAUAAACUUAUUGAGGAGCCAUUUGUUUUCUGAAGCAGCUGAAGGUCCUUCUACCUCCUAAUGCGCAAGGGGCCUGCGGCCGUAAGUUUUAUAUAAUAGGUCAACUCUAGGAAGCUUGAAAAAGGUUCUGGAUCUACCUUUUACUGCCCCCACCCCGCUUUUUUUUAUGGCUGCUCCCAAGUCAGAUUCUUUUUUUUUUUUUUUUUUUUUUUGUCUUUUUGCCUUUUCUAGGGCGACUUCCUCGGCAUAUGGAGAUUCCCAGGCUAUGGGUGUCUAAUUGGAGCCGUAGCCACCAGCCUACGCCAGAGCCACAGCAACUUGGGAUCCAAGCCACAUCUGCAAUCUACACCACAGCUCACGGCAAUGCCGGAUCUUUUAACCCACUGAGCAAGGCCAGGGAUCAAACCUGCAACCUCAUGGUUCCUAGUCGGAUUCGUUAACCACUGCGCCACGACGGGAACUCCGCAGUCAGAUUCUUAACCCACUGUGCCUCAUCGGUAACUCCACCUUUUGCCUUCUUUAAGUUUGGUAUUGAGUUUGAAUUAUUAAAAGUCAGUAAAACAUUUUUUAAAAUAAACACUAAUAUUGGGGGAUAAGUGUUCAUCAAAUUUAAUCCAUUUCUUUUCCCAGGACUAUUUAUAUUUUAGCUGGAGAUGGGUUCUUAUGGUUCAAGAAUGAAUCUCUAAGGGUGGAAUUUCGGAUAUCAAUUGGCAGAUACCAGUCAAUCAAUAGGCCUCCAUUGCCACUAAAUUGCAAAAUAGUUUCUCUUAUGAAUCAGACAUGGGACUUGGGGAGCUGAAUCGAUUUAGUUCACCAUCACAAGAAUUAAUUUCUCCAUUAGGAGUUCCUGUUGUGGCUCAGCGGUAAUUAACCUGACUAGUAUCAAUGAGGACGUGGGUUUGAUUCCUGGCCUUGCCCGUGGGUUGAGGAUCUGGUGUUGCCAUGAGCUGUGGUGUGGGUCUAGGACAAGACCUGGACCUGGUGUGGCUGUGGCUGUGGUGUAGGCCAGCAGCUGCAGCUCCGAUUCGACCCCUAGCCUGGGAACCUCCAU